UCCCGGUUGGAGCGCCAGGCCUGGGGCUCCCUGGGGCAGGCCCCUGGGCCAUCCUGCAGGCCAGAAUGGCCCCACUUACCGCUGAACUUACUUCUUCUGCUUCACUUAUUUCCCACAGACCCAGCUGCCAGUAAACAACUCGUCUGAAGAACUGGACCCAGGACUGUAGGUGAAAGGGGCUCAGCGCUGGCCCUGGCGACUCAGAUUCCAGAAACUUCUGUUUUUCUAACCAACUCCAGCUCAGGCAGGGCCGCUUGGAGAUACCUGGUUGGCAUCUGUCACUGAAGUGGGGACUCUCCGCAGAUGAAAGGACUCACAGCUUCGCCCCGUUACAAAGACACCACAUACCCGAGCUCCACAGACAGCACCUCACCUGAGGGAGUGGGGACCGCGACUCCGCCGUUACCAGUUACCAGGUGCAUUGCUCGAGCCAGUCCAUCCAGGUCACCCUGGCCCCCUCCUGCCUUGUCCCAGAGGCGACAGUCUGAGCGGCCACGUGUCCGGCAGGGAAACCCCGAGCUGCCAGACCUUUGCCCUGCUGGCCGGCCUGGCCUGUUUGUUGCCAAGUGCCUGAGGAGGGGGACAGGAGAUAAGACUGGAGGACUCGGGGACCAAGCUGGCUGAUCUCCUGCAGGGGACACCCGAAGGGCCGCAAUGCGUGGUGGCAGGGGAAGUGACAACGUCAGGCUGGGCAUAGAGUGGUGUCCAAAUCGGCCUCUGAGCGGGUGCCCAAACCUGCUCCUGCCUGGCUUCUUAAAGGACACAAAA
rnacentral:lncRNA from 1 species